rnacentral:rRNA from 1 species
GACGAACGCUGGCGGCGUGCUUAACACAUGCAAGUCGAACGGAAAGGCCCUGCUUUUGUGGGGUGCUCGAGUGGCGAACGGGUGAGUAACACGUGAGUAACCUGCCCUUGACUUUGGGAUAACUUCAGGAAACUGGGGCUAAUACCGGAUAGGAGCUCCUGCUGCAUGGUGGGGGUUGGAAAGUUUCGGCGGUUGGGGAUGGACUCGCGGCUUAUCAGCUUGUUGGUGGGGUAGUGGCUUACCAAGGCUUUGACGGGUAGCCGGCCUGAGAGGGUGACCGGGCACAUUGGGACUGAGAUACGGCCCAGACGCCUACGGGAGGCAGCAGUGGGGAAUAUGGCACAAUGGGCGGAAGCCUGAUGCAGCAACGCCGCGUGCGGGAUGACGGCCUUCGGGUUGUAAACCGCUUUCGCCUGUGACGAAGCGUGAGUGACGGUAAUGGGUAAAGAAGCACCGGCUAACUACGUG